AUAUAUAUAUAUAUAUAUAUAUAUAUAUAUAUAUAGAGAGAGAGAGAGAGAGAGAGAGAGAGAGAGAGAGAGAUAGUUAUUUAGAGUAGGUGUGGCUGACAAAAAGCUGAAAGGUGACAUGGUUUGAAUGGACAGGCUCCAGACAGUCUCAAAGACAGGUAAAGGCAGAUAUAAAGAAUACGGGAGAAAUAAAAUCUGGGAUUAAAAUGACAUUCAAAGCUACUUACUCUUUAGACAGGGGUCUUUCCCCCUCUUUGUGUGUUUGAUCCUCGUCUGUGCUUUCUUCCUUCAGUGCGAUAACUAAGGGUUCUUCAAUAGGGUACCCUUGACAGCCCCGAAAUGAAGGAAGCAGACGGGAUGUACUGUAAAGUGUGUUUGUUUUUGUUUUUGUUGGGAGUUCCAGUAAAUGCUUGUGCACACGCCUGUCGUCAUGGAAUAAAGACCUAUUUUGCAUUCAGUCAAGCUUCAUGAGAUUUACUGUAUAGGGUUCGGUCUGAGUCCAUUGCAUUUAGCUUGGAGAUCUGUAAAAUCGUCUCAGAGUUCGGUAACAUAAAGAUGUCAAAAGUUUGGGUUUAGUUACAAGUGGUAAACCCCCACCCCCAGUGUUGGAGCAAUAAUUGAUGAUAAAUUAUUUUGAUUGUGUUAUGAAUCAUGUUAUCAACCAUAAUUGUUUCUGACAGCUAUCUAAAGCUAAAAAGGAUCAGCGCUACUGAAAUGUACUGUUCCUGUAGAUGAUUGAAUCCAGUCUCCCCUCUACUGAGGGAGAAAACGGUGAUAUAGCCUGGCUGAAAGAAAUACCAUUAAAACGAUUGUGAUAUUGUUAGUAAAGGGUUGAUCAUUGCGAAUGCCAGUAUCGCCCCACAUUGCUGUUUAUUUGUAUUUAUUAUUGCCAUAAAAUGGUUUUGAUUGUAUAUGAAGGUUACAUACAAAAUCAGAUGCAGCUCAGUUGAACAGGCUGAAUUAUUAUCUGAUUCUUAUUUUCUGUCUUUCAGCUUUUACCUUCUGCUUUUUGUUCCAAGCCUGUUCAAAAUGGUGUAACUGAACCAAUCAAACCUCCAUCCAGACCCUGAAAUAGUAUUAAUUAUGUAAUUAUUAAUAAAGUGGACUCUGACUGGACAC